rnacentral:rRNA from 1 species
AUAAGCAAAAUAAGGGCGUAUGGGGGAUGCCUUGGCUCUCAGAGGCGAUGAAAGGCGUGAUAAGCUGCGAAAAGCUGCGGGGACGGGCACACACCGAUUGAUCCGCAGAUACCUGAAUGGGGCAACCCACUAUGUUGAAGACAUAGUACACCGAUAGGUGGGCAAACCCGCUGAACUGAAACAUCUAAGUAGGCGGAGGAGAAGAAAACAAAAGUGAUUCCGUAAGUAGUGGCGAGCGAACGCGGAUUAGCCCAAACCAGUGCUGUUACGGCAGUGCUGGGGUUGUAGGACCACGACAUUUUAUGCACAAGGAACCGGAAUUGGCUGGAAAGUCAAACCAUAGAGGGUGAUAGUCCCGUAUGGGUAACAAGUGUAAUGGAUAGUGGUAUCCUGAGUAGGGCGGGGCACGUGAAACCCUGUCUGAAUUUGGCGGGACCAUCCGCUAAGGCUAAAUACUCCUGAGAGACCGAUAGUGAACCAGUACCGUGAGGGAAAGGUGAAAAGAACCGUGAAUAACGGAGUGAAAUAGAUCCUGAAACCAUACGCUUACAAGCGGUCGGAGCCCUUUCGUGGGGUGACGGCGUGCCUUUUGCAUAAUGAGCCUACGAGUUAACGUUGCUGGCAAGGUUAAGUGGUUAAGCCACGGAUCCGUAGCGAAAGCGAGUCUGAAUAGGGCGCUUUAGUCAGUAGUGUUAGACGCGAAACCGUGUGAUCUACCCAUGGGCAGGAUGAAGCGCUGGUAACACAGUGUGGAGGUCCGAACCGGUUGACGUUGAAAAGUCUUCGGAUGACCUGUGGGUAGGGGUGAAAGGCCAAUCAAACUCGGAAAUAGCUCGUACUCCCCGAAAUGCAUUUAGGUGCAGCGCUGAAUUAAGUUAUAUAGAGGUAGAGCUACUGAUUGGAUGCGGGGGCUUCACCGCCUACCAAUUCCUGACAAACUCCGAAUGCUAUAUAAUGUUUCUCAGCAGUGAGGGCUUGGGUGCUAAGGUCCAAGUCCGAGAGGGAAAGAACCCAGACCAUCAGCUAAGGUCCCCAAAUAUACACUAAGUUGAAAGAACGAGGUUUGUCUGCCCAGACAGCUAGGAUGUUGGCUUGGAAGCAGCCAUUCAUUUAAAGAGUGCGUAACAGCUCACUAGUCGAGCGGACGAGCAUGGAUAAUAAUCGGGCAUAAGUGUAUUACCGAAGCUAUGGAUUUACAAGCAAUUGUAAGUGGUAGGGGAGCAUUCCAGCAGGGUUGAAGGUGUAUCGUAAGGUAUGCUGGACUGGCUGGAAAAGAAAAUGUAGGCAUAAGUAACGAUAAUGCGGGCGAGAAACCCGCACACCGAAAAACUAAGGUUUCCACAGCUAUGCUAAUCAGCUGUGGGUUAGUCUGGUCCUAAGGCGAACCCGAAAGGGACAGUCGAUGGCCAACGGGUUAAUAUUCCCGUACUACUAAUUACUGUGAUGGGGUGACGGAGUGAUGAAAGCGCCGCGAACUGACGGAAUAGUUCGUUGAAGUACCUACCUAUAAGAUCUGCAGGCAAAUCCACAGAUUUUGGGGAAAUACGAUAGUACUCGGAGUCUUCGGACAAAGAGAUAGUGCGCCUAAGGGCUUCCAAGAAAAACCUCUAAACUUCAGGUAAUUAGUACCAGUACCGUAAACCGACACAGGUAGUUGAGGAGAGAAUCCUAAGGUGCUCGAGAGAUUCAUGGCUAAGGAAUUAGGCAAAAUAGACCUGUAACUUCGGGAGAAAGGUCGCCAGCGCAAGCUGGCCGCAGUGAAGAGGUCCAGGCGACUGUUUAUCAAAAACACAGGGCUCUGCAAAAUCGUAAGAUGAAGUAUAGGGCCUGACACCUGCCCGGUGCUGGAAGGUUAAGAGGAGAUGUUAUCUUCGGAGAAGCAUUGAAUUGAAGCCCCAGUAAACGGCGGCCGUAACAAUAACGGUCCUAAGGUAGCGAAAUUCCUUGUCGGGUUGUCGGGUAAGUUCCGACCUGCACGAAUGGUGUAACGAUCUGGACACUGUCUCAGCCAUGAGCUCGGUGAAAUUGUAGUAACGGUGAAGAUGCCGUUUACCCGCAGUGGGACGAAAAGACCCUGUGCACCUUUACUAUAGCUUAGUAUUGACCUUGGAUAAAUGAUGUGUAGGAUAGGUUGGAGACUAUGAAGCGGC